rnacentral:rRNA from 1 species
AUUGAACGCUGGCGGCAGGCCUAACACAUGCAAGUCGAACGAGUGGCGGACGGGUGAGUAAUGUCUGGGAAACUGCCCGAUGGCGGGGGAUAACUACUGGAAACGGUAGCUAAUACCGCAUACUCUCGGAGCGGCCCAUAUGGGAUUAGCUAGUGGGGGGGGUAACGGCUCACCAAGGCAACGAUCCGUAGCUGGUUUGAGAGGAUGACCAGCCACACUGGUACUGAGACACGGUCCAGACUCCUACGGGAGGCAGCAGUGGGGAAUAUUGGACAAUGGGCGCAAGCCUGAUGCAGCCAUGCCGCGUGUAUGAAGAAGGCCUUCGGGUUGUAAAGUACUUUCAGCGGGGAGGCGUUACUCGCAGAAGAAGCAUCGGCUAACUCCGUGCCAGCCGCCGCGGUAAUUC